AUCAGAAGACGGCAGAAGUGUCUCCAUCGAAGGUGGACUUUGGAGUCCAGUGUAAUGAGUUCCAGGAGCACAAGUGUGCCUGUGAGGAGAGGAGGUGUAGCAUGGGACCAAACAGGAAUCAGCCUCUUACAUAUUCAGACAAUAAGAAUGGGAACUAUAGACAAGGAGAAGGACCAAUCAUGAGGGGACAAACACAGAAGAACCAGAGGAAACAAGGCUACAGGAAACCAAGGGGUCAAUACGGCAGCCAGCAUGAAGCCUACAGUGGAUACUAUGGCA